UAAUCAUGAUUACUCGUAAAAUUCGCAGUUUCGCAUGAACUUCCGAUCCCUCUGGUGGCGUUAGUCCGAUUAUACGAGAACGCAAUACGCAUGCGCAAAUAUGAGUGUAGAAGAACGAAGUUUCGCGAAACCGGUGCCACUUCAGCCCGGAAAACGAUUAUUAGUACGGGACACGCCGCCACUUUGUAUGCGUGGUUCGUUUCGAGAGGGAAAGUUAUGUUAUUUUCGGAUAUCGUCUCUCGUACUCACCUGGCACACGUUUUGCGCGAAAGUCUUCGUAACGCUUUGAUGCUUUGUCGAGGCGGUUAAUCGCUGUAACUCGAGAUACGUCGUAGCGUUUGAAAACGCCAAUGGGUGGUUAUGCUCGAACGAAUGUGCUUGUGCAAUGUUCAGCUACUUUGAAUUGUAGGAAAAAUUAGAAUUUUGGGAUUGGAAGACUUAUUUUCGAAUAAAGUUUACUUUAUUCGGAUUAUUUGGUAAUAAUUCAGUUGAGUAGCGGAUAAAUUUUUAGGUUAGUUUGUGCGGAAAUUCGUAUCGAUAAUAUAUAAACACGAAAAUGUUUCUCUUAUUUUUACAUUUAUUUCAUUCUUCAAUUCAAAAAUUCUUUUAACAAGAACGAAAAUCGUGCACAUAAAUCUCGUAACGAAAACUCCAAUUUUAAAAUUAAAUCGAGAAAUACUUGAAAUCCAACUAAGGCGAAAGUAACCACAAAAUCGCAAGAGUUAAUCGCUACGUUCCAAGAAAAUCGCAGUCGGUUCCUUGGGUGUCGUACGACAGAACCGACAGUAGCCUUCUCUCUCCGAGGAUGGUCAUGCACGGUGAGUUUACGAUCAAGAAAGGAACGAGGGAAAGAGAAGAGGAGGAGGAUGUUUUAUGUAUUCGUUGCACGAGCGCCGUUUAUUGUUACACCACACCUAACGGCCAGGCCCGAAAUUGAUGACAAUUGCGCGCUGGAAAGGAACACGCCGCGGAUGAAUCAUCUCCCGCGUUCUUUUCCUCCCUGUGCCCCGACCUCUUUGUCUUUUCUGGGACCAAUGACUCGACCAUGUACCAGAAUUAACCGUGAUUUCUCCGGAAGACAGGAUCGAAAACGUCAGCUCUAUUUAAUCCUGUCAUCGUAUGUCAAUUAUGCGAAUCUCUGUUGGAUCAGUUUAGCAUGUUGCAAAUAAUAAUUAACCGCGAAGAAAUUCAAAAGCAUCAACUUUGCAUCAACAAACGUAUAUUAAUUAAGAGGAUCGACACGUAUAAUAUUAAAAUCAAAAUAGGUUAUGUUCACGAAACUCUUUUAAAGUAUGUAUCGAAUAGGUUAAUGAUGUGCCGUAUCGUGUUUGCGUCUCGGAAGGGAGAACAGAGACAUCUACGAAAGAAGGUGAAAUGGGCUAGCGUGGAAGAAAAGAAAAGAGGACUUGACGAUAGGUGGCGCGACGAUACGAUCUCUCAUCAGCAAUAUGAAGCUAACAAAGCUCGGCUGUACUUUUGCUUCCUUUAUUCGAGACAAAAGCACGUUUGCCACAGGAAUUCGACAGCGGUUCCGAUUAAAAAAUUACGGUUCGACUGGCAACGCCGAUAAAUAUUUUAUCCCGGAUUAAAUGGAAAAUCAUGUUGGCCAUUGUGCAAUCUACGAUCCUUGUUCACUUUCGCGUUGUCGUCACCAUCGUCGUCGUCGUCGUCAUGGUGGUUGUCGUCGUCAUGAUUCCUGGUGUAGAAACCUCUCUUUGCCCGUUUCCUCUUUGUCCUCGAUCGACGAUUCCCGAGGUCCUUUAAUAACGACCAUCGGUGAUUUAUCGACAACGCCACGAAGAGUGGUCCGCCGCAGCGGACCAGAUUCCCAGAUAGAUGGACGCGGUUGGGAACAGUGAUUCGAUUAACUCAUUUGCAUCACCGGUAAAAAUUAAACAUGCAUCCUUACGUAUAAUCAGACCGUGAAACUCAUUCGUCUGAUUUAAUCUGGUUGGCGGUGCAAAUGAAACGACGAAAUAACGAUGGUGCAUCAACUUUCUCCUCGCUUUCAAAUCAUUCAUAAUUGAACCAGAACAAAUUCUAAUUGAAAGUAUUAUCGAGUAAACAAAAAGGAAAUAUCGACUUCCGCAUCCUGAACUUCCGAUCGCAUGGAAUCCUCGUUAGUAGACACGUGGUGAAAUGAAGAAAAGAAAAUUCCUUUCCCCCGGAAACCGGUCAAGGGAAUCCUAAUAUAAACGAUAUCUUCAUCAUGGAAUUUUUUCCUUUGUCAGAUGUUAAUCAGCUAGUCGAUUAUUGAUUAUAACGAUCGCAUAAAACGAUGAUAACUAGA
rnacentral:lncRNA from 1 species